GCUCUGCGCCUCGGCUUCUGGUAUUUUCGACGCGUUUGCGGGCGCCCGCCCAGUCCGCGUCUGGAGGUCGGAGAGGGAGGUUGAUAAUUUGCUUUUCUCGAGAGUAGCUUCGAAAAGUCUCCCUUCGUCCUCAACUUCGAAAGGAGGGCGUCUGUUGGUCCUUUACUUUCACUUUUGGUGUGGCCUCGGCAGCCUGUGGUGGCGCGGAGUUUCCGGGCAGGAAUUCUCUGAGACAGAGGGAAGCUUGCAGUCUCGCGCCGAGAUGUCCCAGUACGUGAACGACCUGUGGCCGGGCUCGCCGCAGCACAAGGAGUCCCCCUCGACGUCUCGGUCGGGCCGGUCCAGCCGCCUGUCCUCGGCAUCCAGGAGCCGCUCGUCUUCCGGGAGCUCUCGGUCGCGCUCAAGCGGCUCGAGCCGGGCGUCGUCGCGGAGUCGGAGCCGGUCUUGGAGGAGGAGCAGGUCCAGGUCUUGGUCCAGGAGGCGCCACCAGAGAAAGUACAGGCGCUACUCGCGCUCCUACUCGCGCAGCCGGUCACGCUCCCGCGGCCGCCGGUAUCGCGACAGGCGCUACGGCGCGUCCAGGAGAUACGGUCGGUCGCCGUCGCGGCCCCGCUCCCGCAGCCGGUCCCGCUCGCGGGGACGCUCGUAUUACCGACGGGCCUACGCGCUCCCGCGGGGGCGGCGAUACUACGGCUUCGGCCGCACCUUGUACCCUGAAGAACGCGGAAGUUGGAGGGGCGGGUCCCGGGGCAGAUCUCGGACCCGGUCGCGGAGCCCAACCCCUUUUCGCUUAAGUGAGAAAGAUCGAAUGGAGCUGUUAGAAAUAGCAAAAGCCAAUGCAGCAAAAGCUUUAGGAACCGCUAAUUUUGACUUGCCAGCUAGUCUCAGAAAAGUUCUUGCAUCUAAAGAGACGAACUGUGGAACAGCUGUACCAAACAGUGAUGCAAAGUUUGAGAAAUCAUGAAUGUGGUCUCCAGACAUUGAUGAAGAAAAUCUGUUGGUAAUUGAUAAAUGGGCAAAAACAUCAGAGGUUUAACUAAUUUGAAGUUUACGUUCACACACUGAAAGUUUAGUUUUUUGUUGUUAGAUCCAUGUGCAUGCUAGAUGUUGGGAUAGGUACUAUUUUAAUAAGAUACUAAAGACAGUUUUUUAAAAAACCGUUUGUAAUGUGGGGCAUCUGUGAUACAGAUGUCCCUUUCAUAAUAUAUGCAAUAUAUUCCAGAUGUUUUGAAAGAUUACAGAAGAAGAGGCCUGCUUCACUUGCAGAUAAGUUUAUUAUAAUUCUCCAGAAAUGUGCAGGAUGUGCAUUGGUAAAUUGCACUGUGUGGUCUUAAUUACAUGAAGUAGAAAGUAUAAAAUUCAUAGCCUUCAAGGUUUAAGGUAGUUACAAGUUUGAUAGAAUCAGUUAAUAUCGGAAAGUCGUUCUCUAGAUGAAUCUACCAUUCAAACCCAGAUGUGGGUUUGCUUAAGUAUUUAGUAAUAAACAAGGUCUUAGUCCAGUUGCUUCUUCAGAUUAGGUUUCCAGCUGGCAAAUGCCUUAUUAGUUCUUUGGAACUAAGUAUUUUCUGCUAUGACUUUACUUUCAGAGUUAACUGGAUUUGCAUCAGGGGAAUAUAAUACUGUUAGGGAAGAGUGCCUUAAGCUGAUUAUUGAAUCAGUUUUGUUUUUAAAGUAUUUUUUCUCUUUCUUGUUUAGCUGUCGGGAAAACUAGGAAAAGAUGGAACUAAAAAUCCCAGUGAAAAGCCUUCUCAGCAAAAAAGCAUAGCUUUUAGCUCUAAUAAUUCUGUAGCAAAGCCAAUGCUUCAGAAAUCCGCUAAAGCUACUGCUGAAGAGACCUCUUCAGGAUCCCCCAAAAUAGAUAAGAAGAAAAGUCCAUAUGGAUUGUGGUUACCUGUCUAAAAAAAGAAAACUAAAGUAUAAGGUUGGCUGAAAUGCACUUUAUUGCAAGUGUGUGUUCUAGCAUUAUUCCAUCUCUGGGAGUCAUUUAGUGGUAAUUGUUGGAAUUACAAUGACACAGAAAUACAUAAAUCCUUAAUAUUUAAAUAUUAACAUUUUAGAUUUCUCUUAUAGAUAAGAGAAAACACACACGGACCAGAUGAUUCAUACAGGUGGGAGUCUUGUACAUAUACUUGUAAAUGUUUUGUAUAAUACCAG